ACUUCGGACAUCGCCAGGCGGCAGGAAGGGCACGGAUGAGCCAGGGCCAGCACCAGAAGUGACUUUUAGGGACUGCUGCCACGUUCUCACCUGCAUGCCUCCGUUUCCCCUCUGGUAUCUAAGAGAGAGUAAUUCAGAUUACAGUUGAACAUGGCAAAUAAAGACAAUUACCAAACAAACAGACGAAAAAAAAUCUGACUAAAGUUGAGUGUAGCUGUGAAAAGUUAAGGGCAUGACACCUAGGGUAGGGGUGGAGGGGAUGGACAGUCUGUAGACCCCAGACUCAGCCGGUAGAGAGGAGAAGCAGCUGCAUGUUGGGGACUAUGGCCAAAGUCAGAGAGAACCAGCUUGACUUCAGAGGGACAGCUUGACAGUGUAACUUCAAAGAAGAAUCUGGCCAGAGACUGCUGGACCUCAGGGGAAGAUUACCUACAUUCCCUGGCCCCUUUUCAACCUCCCUUCCCUCUGAGA
rnacentral:lncRNA from 1 species